GAUGAAGAACGCAGCGAAAUGCGAUAAGUAGUGUGAAUUGCAGAAUUCAGUGAAUCAUCGAAUCUUUGAACGCACAUUGCGCCCCUUGGUAUUCCAUGGGGCAUGCCUGUUCGAGCGUCAUUUGUACCCUCAAGCUUUGCUUGGUGUUGGGUGUUUGUCCCGCGUUGCGCGUGGACUCGCCUUAAAGCGAUUGGCAGCCAGCAUAUUGGCCUUGGAGCGCAGCACAUUUUGCGCUUCUAGUCAUGAAUGUUGGCGUCCAUUAAGCCUAUACAUUUGCUCUUGACCUCGGAUCAGGUAGGGAUACCCGCUGAACUUAAGCAUAUCAAUAAGCGGAGGA
rnacentral:misc_RNA from 1 species